UGAAUACGAGAUGCUACGGCGUCGAAGCAGUCUAUGUCAUACUUCCAAGAAAAGCUUGCACUGUCAUAAACAAAUAAUGCCUGUACCAUAACCGACACAGGUGGGUAGGUAGAGUAUACUAAGGGGCGCGAGAUAACUCUCUCUAAGGAACUCGGCAAAAUGACUCCGUAACUUCGGGAGAAGGAGUGCCUUAUUUAUAAGGUUGCAAUAACAAGAUCCAAGCAACUGUUUACCAAAAACACAGGUCUCCGCUAAGUCGUAAGACGAUGUAUGGGGGCUGACGCCUGCCCAGUGCCAGAAGGUUAAAGAAGUUGGUUAGCAUCCGCGAAGCUGAUAACUGAAGCCCUGGUGAACGGCGGCCGUAACGAUAACGGUCCUAAGGUAGCGAAAUUCCUUGUCGGGUAAGUUCCGACCCGCACGAAAGGCGUAAUGAUUUGGAUACUGUCUCGGAGAGGGGCUCGGUGAAAUAGACUUGUCUGUGAAGAUGCGGACUACCUGCACCAGGACAGAAAGACCCUAUGAAGCUUUACUGUAACCUGAAAUUGAAAUUGGACUUUACUUGCGCAGUAUAGGUGGGAGGCGUUGAGAAUAUUCUUGCGGGAUUAUUGGAGCCAUCAGUGAGAUACCACUCUUGUAAUGUUAGAUUUCUAACUUUGUAUCAUUAUCUGGUCAAAGAACAGUUUCAGGCGGGCAGUUUGACUGGGGCGGUCGCCUCCUAAACGGUAACGGAGGCGCACAAAGGUUUCCUCUGAACGGGUAGAAAUCGUAUCUAGAGUGUAAAGGCAUAAGGAAGCUUGACUGUGAGACCUACAAGUCGAGCAGGGACGAAAGUCGGUCUUAGUGGUCUGACGGUGCUGAGUGGAAAGGCCGUCACUCAACGGAUACAAGUUACUCUAAGGAUAACAGGCUGAUCUCCCCCAAGAGUUCACAUCGACGGGGAGGUUUGGCACCUCGAUGUCGGCUCAUCGCAUCCUGGGGCGGUAGUACGUCCCAAGGGUUGGGCUGUUCGCCCAUGAAAGCGGUACGCGAGCUGGGUUCAGAACGUCGUGAGACAGUUCGGUCCAUAUCCGGUGUAGGCGUUAGAAUAUUGAGAGGAGCCUUCUUUAGUACGAGAGGACCGAGAAGGACAUACCUCUGGUGUACCAGUUAUCGUGCCAACGGUAAACGCUGGGUAGCUAUGUGUGGAGUGGAUAACCGCUGAAAGCAUCUAAGUGGGAAGCCCACCUCAAGAUAAG
rnacentral:rRNA from 1 species